AAAAAAUAAAAUAAAGGAGAAAAAUUAUCACUAGAAAAUAUGACAAAAAGAUACAGGGGUCGUUGUUGCAACCAGCAAUCCCCAGUUUCCCUAGCAUUUGAUAUUAGUAAGCAACAAGGCAAUGUAAAAGCAGUCUACAAUUUCAUCCAGUAAUCAACUCCAACUCCAGAUCCAGAUGAAGAAUUCGUAUUCCUUGAUUGAAGUUUUGGAGGUCAGGCCAUGUGGCAUACUCGUCCUGAGAAGAGAGUCUGCUUCUUCUGAUGAUGCUUGGGCCCUUGAUCAAGAUCAACGUCUCUCAUGGUCCCUCCCAGCAUGUACCUGCUCGAUCUACUUUCAGAUAUAUGAAAGAAGUUAUUGAAUCAAAAAAGGGGUCUGGAGCCUAAACAGCAAAAGAUUUUGUUUAGGGGACAAGAAAAAGAGGAUUGGGAAUAUUUGCAUUAGGCAGGUGUGAAGGAUAAGUAGAAGAUUUUUGGUUUUGGAAAGCAUGGUAAGCGAAGAGGAGAAGCCUGUGGAGAUGAAGGAACAUGAGGGAACUUCAAAGGCGGAGGUAAAGGAAAGUGAGGAGAUCUCAAAGAGGAGAUGAAGGAAGAGAAGAAAUGUCAAAAGCAUUUCAAGCUAUUGCUGAAGUCAGAGAAGAGGUCAAUAAGCUUGUAGAAAGAGUUUCUGCUUUAGUGGUGGCUGUGAAGGGUGGGGGCCAGACUUUGGAGGAGGAAUUUUCUGUGUCAUCAGAGUUUCUGAUGAGGCAAUUGCUGAAAUUUGACACUAUUCAGGCUGAAGGAGAACCCAAGGUAUAGCAGAAGGCUGAGGUACACUGUGUCCAGAACUACCAUGAUCUGCUGGACAACCUAAAGGCUAGUAAUUCGAAGCCAUUUAGCACUAGCAGUAGCAGCAAUGCUGUGUCAGUGACAACUGAGUGGGAGACCUUUGACUCUGGAUUAGGAAGCUCGAGUCCAUCUCCACCCUCAGUGUCAUCUUCAACAAGAAUUAAUCAGGAUUGGGAAAGCUAAAGCAUACGCUUGUUCUCCAUGAGCAGCAUCAUCGCCAACUUUUAGCUCUUCAUCAGUCAUCCGCAGGGGUAUCAACAAUUUUAUCACACAAAGAAUGAUGGAUGUAACUAAUACGUUCCACCCUAUGACAAAACCUGCUCCUGCUAAUUGCUUUAGAAAUUGAAUUCCACCUCGAGUACCAUAGAAUGCCCCUUUCGAAUUAGGGACUACCAAGAACAACCCACUGAGGUAUGGAUGUGCAAAGAGCCCUGUCAGAGCCCCACCUAAGGUUCCGGCAACAGCAUGAGUGUGUAAUACACCCAGGGUAUCAUCAACCUUCUGCAGCAAGGGCAACUUCUUGCUCAAGCACAUCAUGGUGUACCAGGGGAUGCUUCCUGAUGCUAAACCCAUUACUAGUGCUGCCCAUCCUUGAACAAGACCUGUGGGGGAAAAUUUUGGGAAAUGAAGAAAGCUUUGUAUUGAGAAGUUUAAAAAGUUGGCUUUUCGAAUUGAAGGGUCUUACCUGCAGCAGGAGUGAUACACACCAACCCAGUUAUCAUUCCCUGAAUGGCACCAAUCACAGAGGGUUUUUUGAAGAAGAGGACAUCCCAACAGGUCCAUGCAAGGAGACUUGUCGCUGCACAGAUAUGAGUAUUGAGAACCGCUAAGGACGAGUCUACAUUGGCAGUGAAAGGAUCUCCGCCAUUGAAACCGGUCCAGCCCAUCCAAAGAAUACCAGCGCCAGCCAAUGCUAAUAAGAGAUUAUUUGGUGCGAAGUUUUCCCGGUCUUCCUUUAGUCUUGGUCCAACCUACAAGAGAAAUAAAGCAAGUUGACUUGUGUCAUCAAAUGUUGAAAAAUUCCAAGUGCAUGGACAGGAAAGGCGAAUAUAUAGGUGCUUACCCAAUAAGCUGCUGUGAAUCCUGCUGCACCAGAAGCUAGAUGGACAACAUAACCGCCUGAAUAAUCCAUGAUACCCCAUUGGAAGAGGAAGCCUCCGCCCCAUAUGCUGAAGGCUCCAACGCUGUAGGAGAAGGUGAUCCAUAGUGGUACAAAGACCAUCCAAGCUUUGAUGCUCAUCCGGCCUAAAACUGAUCCAGCAAGGAGUAUAACUGUCACGGCUGCAAAAGCAAACUGGAAGAAGACCAUGGUAGAUGUGGGAUACAGUGGUUGAGCUGCAGAAACAUUUUUGUAAUCCGUUGAUGGGAGAAUAGUUUGAGGAAUCAAGAAGUCUUGAGAGACUGCAAGGCCAGCUUUGCCCCAAAAUGGAAGGAGCUGAUGACCAAAGGACAUUUUGUAAGCCCAAAGGACCCAGCAAGGCAUGACAGCGGCAAAGGCAUAGAGUGCCAUAAAUGCUGAGUUAAGAGCCCAUUUCUUCUUGACGAGGCCAGCAUAAAGGAUCACUAACCCUGGCAUGCCUUGCAUGCCGACUAAUGUUGCAGAGAUCAUUUGCCAUGCAUUGUCGCCUUUGUUCAGCCAUUCAGGUGCAGCUGGGCUUCCCUGUUGGUAUGCUACUGGAACAACUGUAGCAGCAGCCAUUGUUGGUUUGGAAGCCCUAGGAUUUGGAUUCAAAGCAUCACCUUUACAGAGGUACCUAUAUUAGACAGAGGAUCCUAGUUAGUUAUAUAGGGGUAAAAUAAGAGGGGCCUUAAAAUUCUACUGAUUGUCUGGUUUGUCAUUGUUUGUGGAGAAUUCCCAUGUUAUGACAUUUCCUAGUCAUGUGCAAUGAGUGGUGCCAGUGUCAUCCAAGCUAACUUACGGUUUACCACUUGAUAUUUUAUUGUCAUUUUGAGUAUCGUUUCAGUAAUUGACUAGAAUCUUUUGC
rnacentral:misc_RNA from 1 species